rnacentral:rRNA from 1 species
UACGAAGGGGGCUAGCGUUGUUCGGAUUUACUGGGCGUAAAGCGCACGUAGGCGGAUCGUUAAGUCGGGGGUGAAAUCCUGGAGCUCAACUCCAGAACUGCCUUCGAUACUGGCGAUCUUGAGUCCGGAAGAGGUGAGUGGAACUCCUAGUGUAGAGGUGGAAUUCGUAGAUAUUAGGAAGAACACCAGUGGCGAAGGCGGCUCACUGGUCCGGUACUGACGCUGAGGUGCGAAAGCGUGGGGAGCAACCAGG